rnacentral:lncRNA from 1 species
GUGUGGAAUGGGGAGUGGUGAAUGUGCAGGGGCGAUGAUAGGCGCUGAUGUCGAUUUUUAUUUAUACUUUUAUCCUUAUUAUACAUUCUGAUCAUUUUUUACGUUCAGGAGUUUUCUCUGUUGAUUUAACAUAAAAAACGGUGUGUUUUACUGUUAUUGCCAAGUGCCAUAUUGAUAUUGAAAUUGGGGUACAAUUCAACAUUCACUCAGUUGGGGAAACUACGAGGAGCCAAACAAAAAUUGGAUUAGCCAAUCAGCGGCUGGAGUGGGCGGGGCGAUGACCAUAUAUGGUCAUAAAAUCAGACAACUUCAUCUUUUCAAUGAAUUUUAGCAUUCAAAUGAAAAGAUAAGGCAUAAGAAUGUUUUUUAACCACGCAAGGCCUACACUCACCCGGUGCAUAAUUAACUGGCGGCUCUAAAUCGCAGAGUUACAACGCAAGGUCAAACCGUGAUUGGUCCGUGAUUGGCAAAUGUGGCGGAUUGAAACGGACGCGCCAAAAAAUGUAAGCAGUACCGUGGUUUAAAAAUGUCAUUAUUUUUAUUAUUUUGUUUAUGGUUUUUUAAAUUGUAGUUAAGUUAUUAUUAUAGAAUUAAAUAUUUUUGUUUAUUGUAAUUAAAUUAAAUCUUUGAACAAUUUUCUUUUAUAAAACCAAUCCAUUUAUUGAAUGGCCAGCUGAUUGCGACGCCCAGAACCUGCAGAAAAGCCGUUUUCCUAUCGCCAUUUUCGAGUCAAUUCGCCAAAUUUUAUCAAAUCACACCAAUUGCUAGUGAAAAAUGGAAGCCUUUUCUCUCCAAUAAGUGGACGCGAUACCGCAAGUACCGGCUUGUCAUACCGUUUUUCACACUUAGUAGCGGGGGCUGCAUUUAUGCCCAUAUAUGGUCAUCAAAAGUCCAUUUAUUGACCAAUCCAUUUUUUGACGUUCACCUUGUAGUUUCCCCAACUGCACUGGUUUUCUAUGGCCUGUUGUGCAUCAUAUUAUUGGUAAUGUGAAUAUAGGUACUCCAUACACUGCUACUUUUGGGUACAUAUAAAUGUUUGACCUGAUUUUAGUUCACUUCACCUUAUUUUUUUUUGCAGGAACAGUUAUCACACCAUUAUUGUGCAAAAAAUAAGGGUGGUUUAACGCGGCACUCUGUCAGCCACUUUUGGCUUCCAUAGACAUCAACAAGCCUAUACCUCCAACACUACCAGAGGUUGACGUUAGCUCCACGGAAUGCGCUGGCAGCUGCUGGCAGCGUGCCCAUGAAACACAGCCAGGGGUUUCCUCUGUAAAGUCAUUAUUGUCUAGGUACAUGGGCCUUUAGCAAUUGUUAACAGCUAUAAAAAUUGGAAUUAGAAAUGUUCAGGUAUUAUGAGCAUCAGCUAAACAGGGAAGCAUAUUUGGCUACAGCCCAUCUUGCAACGCCUCAAUGAAAUUUAACGAGAAACUUAAAUUGAGGGAGCAGCUACAUAACUGAGGUAAAGCCCAUAAAUCCUUGUGGAUUUACCUACAUACCUGAGGUAAAUCCACAAGGCACCUUGAGUUCAAACUAUGAAGUGACUCCAAGCGAAAUAUAGCAGAAAUUGUGACUUAAAUGAGCUUAGAAAUAAUCUGCUUAGUUCAUUUGAAAUGUAUUGUUACCCCCUUUCUAACCAUGCAUAUUUUUGUGUCUUGUGAGGUCUCAUAUAGCAAUAAAAAUAGAAAAGUUAUACAAGAGCAGUGACAUGCAUAGUUUGCUUGUGUUGUCACAACUUUGUACAAUAUUUCCAGCUUUAUAAUAUGCAGUUAUCAGUCACAUUGGGCAUCACACAUGUAUUAUUUUUUCCUGCAGGAGGGAAGACACAGGAGGGAACUAGUGACUCAUGUUUUUGCUUCUAUCGCUUCACCCCUGGGGAAUCAGUUCCUACACUCCUUGAAUAUAAUGGUCACCAAGGGGUGCUGUCCUGACACGUUCACUUUCUGUUGAGAAGGUUAGAACAAACACCAUGUGUGUCAUUUAGUUGCAUAUAUAAUGCUUCAAUGUUAAGUCUGCAUAAAGCCUGGAGUCUGUAGCCACUCUUAAUCCUAGGUUGUCGUGACCUUAAUCUAGCCUGGGUGGAUAUUUUGCUGUGCUAAAAGCACGGACUCCGCUACGCCCCAGUGCGGCGGCCGGGGCGCCUCCCCUGGAAGAAGACGGCGCCGGGGAGGGGAUGGACACUGUUACACUUGCGGUUUUUUGUGUGGGGUAGCGUAUACCCUUCUUACAGGUAUUUACUAUGGACAAUGCAUGCGGGUGACCUCCACUGCACGUGACACGUGUAAAACAGAGAGGUGUCAUUUUUGUUGUAAUGACAAUAGCACGGUACAACUUGAUUGUGAUGACAAUAACUACAUUAUAAAAAGGAUGUAGGCACCCACCGGGCAAUGUGUUUAAAUGUGUCACGGUUGGGGUGCAACUGCACGUGCACAUGUGCAGGGUGACGCUUCCAGAUGUCGAGAACGGCCGGGCCGAUUGUGCUCAGAUUUGGCACAUCGCUAGAGACCGGUUAGUAGGGUGCCGUGCGCAAGUGGGAACUGAAAAUGUCUAAAAUAGAGAUGUUGCAGCUUGAAGGAAAUGCAAUCAAACUGUCAAUCAUACAGUGAUACUGUUUUUUUUUUACAGGAGACAAGAUUGAAGUGCAGCCAACACUGCAUGGUGCUUCUCACAAGAGCUGACCCAUUGCUGUUUUUCAACUCUUCUGGAAAAGAUCCCGAAAGAAGAUAACAGCUUGUUUUCUUCACCGCCACCAGUCUACCUGCUCUCUGCACACUCGGCAGAGCGCGGCAGGGCACCCCACGGAGCUGCACUAGUCACAUCCGGGCCCCACGCCGGUCGACGGCCGAUGCGAUGGAGGCACUACUCCGAGCUGGACUGGUGGCCGGCUCGGAGCUGGUGGAUGUCGACCGCGGAGCGGCGAUCUACUCCUUCCACCGGGGCCGGCAGCAGGAGCUCCAGAUGUCCUUGUGCCACCCGUCCGGCCAGGCCUCCAUCCACCUUGUAGAGGCGGAGCGGGAGACGGUGAAGCUCACGGCUCCGUUGGAACAUGGCCGCUGGGAGGCCUGCGGCGCGGACGACGGAUGCGGCAGUUGGUCAAGACACGGCAGCGUACUCGAGGUGCUUCUCGCCUGGAGGACGCAGGCGAAUCGCGUUAUCCGAGCUGUGCCUCGUCAUGGUGCGAUGAGCCUUAAUAGACUAAUGCAUAUUCUUCCUUUGGCUGUAAUUCAUUUGCUGCUGCCCGCUGGGCUAAGGAGUAACUCUGGGCGCCUACUUUGGGCAGACGCUCGUCCAGUGCCGCUCUUCGUUUGCCGCA